CUAUGAUUGACAGAGCCUGCAUGAAAAAAAAAAAACUGGUUUCACUUUCAAACAGAUGUAAUUUACCUUAAAUAAUUGUAUCUCAAUCUCUAAAUUGAACUUUAAUCACAUACAGGAGGCUCUAGCAGGGUCUAGCAAGCUAUUAACAUAGCAGGGGAUAAGAAAAUCUUAAUUAAACAGAACUUGCAAUAAAGAAAGCCUAAAUAGGGC